rnacentral:lncRNA from 1 species
UUGAUAUGAUCACUCUGCAAGGAGGGGAAGGGGCCUUCAGACCACCGCAUAGAUUAGCCAUUGGCUGGAGCGUUCCCAGGCGGAGGCAUACACUCGGGGAAGGGCAAAAGGCGUCCCAAGACAGCCUGGCUGUGAGCCAUCAGCAGCGACUCCGAGCCCCUCGGCCCUUCGGGGCCCCAGGCUGGGCACCACACCAUCCAUCACAGUCCCCACAUCCCUCAAACAUGGUACUUAACAGCAUCAUUAGCUAGGAAUGUGGCUGAAGGGGAAGGAAACACUAAUUGGCUUCCUGGGAGCCUCGUCCCUGAGAACAGCCCCUGUGCCAUGGAAGUUUCUAUUCAUGUGACCGAGUAAAGGCAGAGAAAACCAAGCUGGGGCAUUUUUCAAUUUUGCUUUGUUAUUUCAAAGUAAUGGCAGCCUGGGCAACAUGGUGACACCUCAUCCUUAUGAAUUUUUGGUUUUAAUUUUCAAAAAAUUAGCCAGGCAUGGUGGUGUGCCCCUGGAGUGCCAGAUGCUCAGGAGGCUGAGGCAGGAGGAUUGCUUGAGCCUGGGAGGAUGAGGCUGCAGUGAGCUAUGAUCGUGCCACUGUGCUCGAGCUGCACUCCAGCCUGGGUGACAGAGCAAGACCCUGUCUCUAAAUAAAUAAAUAAGCAAAUAUGUACAUGCAUGAAAGUAAUAGCUAUUGCCUUUUUAUCAUUUGGAAAGAUCUCAUAUUCUUUCACAAAGAAAAACAGAAAAUUUAAAUAAGCCAAAAGGACAAUAUUUGCCCUCCAGCAAAUCUACUUGUCCAUUAACUGUCCUUGUCAGCACCCUGACCUGGGAUCAUGGAUGGCACUGUCUGAAGGAGGAUCAGCGCU